ACACUAAUCCCCCCAGGGGAACCUGGCCCUUAAUUCGAUAGUCCACGAACCUCUUACCUUCCCUAGUUCUUUUGACAGCUAGCACUGUGCUAUGCGCCAAAAUAGACUCCAGCUCGCAUACCGCCGUUUCGCAGCUUGUAUCGUGAGAGAACAGAAACAGGCAAACAAGCUCCUUCUAAGGUUCGCUUCCAAUUCAGGUAAACGUGCGGCCAAUGGGAAGGGGGGAGCUGGGUUACAAUUGAAGAUUGUAAUGGAGUUACUGCCCUAAGGGUAGAACAAAAGAGGACUUGGAAGUAACCCCCUUGGACAAUGAGGGAGUGAAUAGUGCUCUAGUGUGUGU
rnacentral:rRNA from 1 species